UCCCCUUUGCCUCCGGAUGCUCUAGCAAGAAGAUAAGUGCCCUCGACAAAUCAUCAACGUGCACCAUUGCAGCAUUGAUAAGAAAAUGAUAGUCCCCCUUGUUCCCUGAACAGAUACUCGAAUAUGCGAUUGAUACGAUUGAUUAUGAUAAA